rnacentral:snRNA from 1 species
AUACUUACCUGGACGAGGUCAUUGAGCAAUCAACAAGGCUCGUGGCCAGGGUUGGUGACCUCCAUUGCACUUUGGAGGGGUGCUUGCCUAAGGUUGGCCCAAGGUGUCGAGGCUACAUACCCAAGUCUUCAAC